rnacentral:rRNA from 1 species
GACGAACGCUGGCGGCGUGCCUAAUACAUGCAAGUUGAGCGCUGAAGGUUGGUACUUGUACCAACUGGAUGAGCAGCGAACGGGUGAGUAACGCGUGGGGAAUCUGCCUUUGAGCGGGGGACAACAUUUGGAAACGAAUGCUAAUACCGCAUAAAAACUUUAAACACAAGUUUUAAGUUUGAAAGAUGCAAUUGCAUCACUCAAAGAUGAUCCCGCGUUGUAUUAGCUAGUUGGUGAGGUAAAGGCUCACCAAGGCGAUGAUACAUAGCCGACCUGAGAGGGUGGUCGGCCACAAUGGGACUGGGACACGGCCCAAACUCCUAAGGGAGGCAGCAGUAGGGGAUCUUCGGCAAUGGACGGAAGGCUGACCGAGCAACGCCGCGGGAGGGAAGAAGGUUUUCGGAUCGUAAAAAUCUGUUGGUAGGGAAGAACGUUGGGGGGAGUGGAAAGCUCAUCAAGUGACGGUAACUACCCAGAAAGGGACGGCUAACUACGUG